GGCAGCUGAGGGUGUAACAAACAAUUUUUUUUUUCAGAAUUCAAAACAAAUUAUUUUUUCCUCCAAAAACUGGAAACAAACUUUUUUUUCCAAAAAAAACCAUAGCCCCUCCCAGAAAAUCAAAUGGUUGCUGCCUUAUCGCCUUUUCUAACAAAGAGCUUCGAUUCUUUUGUUCUAUUUCAACCUGGUUUCCGACUGAAGUCGUUUCAGCUGGACUCCGUUUACUAAAAUUUAGGUUCUUAUGACUUUUAUGUCCUAGUCUUUCGUUCGUAUACAUGGAUGGUGACACUUUAAAAAUUUAAUCAACUAUCUUUAUAAGAAUUAAAUCUCGUCAAAAGUGCUGACGUGUUUAUACCGGACUGGUAAAAUAAUAGUUCGUUGCUGUCUAUUAUGGGCUUAUAUUGGAUGUAUGGGUUUAUCUAUUUCUGUGCAUUUAUUUGCACGUCCCAGACAAACAUAUUAUUAGAUUCAUCAACAAAAAUACG
rnacentral:lncRNA from 1 species